rnacentral:rRNA from 1 species
GACGAACCAUCCAAACGUUAUUCGGAAUUACUGGGCUUAAAGGGUGCGUAGGCUGCGCAGAAAGUUGGGUGUGAAAUCCCUCGGCUUAACCGAGGAACUGCGCCCAAAACUACUGUGCUUGAGGGAGACAGAGGUGAGCGGAACUUAGGGUGGAGCGGUGAAAUGCGUUGAUAUCCUAAGGAACACCCGUGGCGAAAGCGGCUCACUGGGUCUCUUCUGACGCUGAUGCACGAAAGCUAGGGGAGCGAACGGGAUUAGAAACCCCAGUAGUCC